rnacentral:rRNA from 1 species
GGCCACGGAUUAGCAUGUCGCGUCUAUAAUGCAGUCGAACGCUUUUUCUUUCACCGGAGCUUGCUCCACCGAAAGAAAAAGAGUGGCGAACGGGUGAGUAACACGUGGGUAACCUGCCCAUCAGAAGGGGAUAACACUUGGAAACAGGUGCUAAUACCGUAUAACACUAUUUUCCGCAUGGAAGAAAGUUGAAAGGCGCUUUUGCGUCACUGAUGGAUGGACCCGCGGUGCAUUAGCUAGUUGGUGAGGUAACGGCUCACCAAGGCAACGAUGCAUAGCCGACCUGAGAGGGUGAUCGGCCACACUGGGACUGAGACACGGCCCAGACUCCUACGGGAGGCAGCAGUAGGGAAUCUUCGGCAAUGGACGAAAGUCUGACCGAGCAACGCCGCGUGAGUGAAGAAGGUUUUCGGAUCGUAAAACUCUGUUGUUAGAGAAGAACAAGGAUGAGAGUAAAAUGUUCAUCCCUUGACGGUAUCUAACCAGAAAGCCACGGCUAACUACGUGCCAGCAGCCGCGGUAAUACGUAGGUGGCAAGCGUUGUCCGGAUUUAUUGGGCGUAAAGCGAGCGCAGGCGGUUUCUUAAGUCUGAUGUGAAAGCCCCCGGCUCAACCGGGGAGGGUCAUUGGAAACUGGGAGACUUGAGUGCAGAAGAGGAGAGUGGAAUUCCAUGUGUAGCGGUGAAAUGCGUAGAUAUAUGGAGGAACACCAGUGGCGAAAGCGGCUCUCUGGUCUGUAACUGACGCUGAGGCUCGAAAGCGUGGGGAGCGAACAGGAUUAGAUACCCUGGUAGUCCACGCCGUAAACGAUGAGUGCUAAGUGUUGGAGGGUUUCCGCCCUUCAGUGCUGCAGCAAACGCAUUAAGCACUCCGCCUGGGGAGUACGACCGCAAGUUGAAACUCAAGGAUUGACGGGGCCCGCACAGCGUGGAGCAUGUGUUUAAUUCGAAGCACGCGAAGACUUACAGUCUUGACAUCCUUUGACCAUCUAGAAUAGAGCUUCCCUUCGGGCAAGUGACGGUGCAUGCUUGCUCAGCUCGGUCUGGAUG